UAACCUUUAAAGAUAUAGAUGUAGGCCUAAAUCUACAUUUUGUGAACUACUGAUCUUUGACUAUCAGCCAACUGAGGACUGCUCGAAACGUGUGAAGUUUCGUCUCUCACUACAAUACUGAACUUAUUUUGAAAGAAAAGAAGUCUUAUUAGAUUUCUGUGGCAUAAUCUGAAGCAAGUUGUUUGACCAGAUACAAAUAUGCCUCGAAGCCAAGUGAUUUCACAGGUCAGAGCAGGAGCCAAGCGCUUGGGCUACACCCCGAGAGGGGUCAAAUCCGGUACUGCCGCGGCUGGUCAGGUGUCAUCCACCGCCAAGAGUCACGGCGGGUCAGUUCCAAAGGGAAGUCUCGUCUCCCAGUUGCAGUCCGCCGGAACCAAGGGCAGCUCCCGCAAGUAGGAGAGUGACUUGUCCGCCCAGGACGUGAUUCGACAUUGUUCAUGGAGGCUAUUAAACAAGAGUUGAAUCUGCAAAUUCAUCUUCGAUCUGUAGCAAAUAGAAGUAGUCCAUAGAUCUUGUUCCUCGCUUGAUGUUUUCAGAUGCCAUUCAAUUAUGUUGUAACAUGUAGAUGGACACUGUCACAGAAAGUAAUUAAUAAUUGUAAUUACUGAAUUCUUACCUUCGGUAACACUAGUGAUACAUAUCUGUUAAAUUUCAUAUUGAAUUGAAUGAUGCAAAGACGUAGUAACAAAUUCAUGGGAAAAAUCCAUUAAAAAACAUUUGAAUUAUUUGCAAACGUUCUUCCUUUAAUUGCCAUUAAUUCAUAGUCUCCACCCAUUUCGACAAAACAAAUCGUUCACCGUUAGAAGUUUGUUUUUUGUUUAGUGGCGAUGCAGGCAACUUUCAAUGUGAGUGUGCGAAUGCACUCGGCAAUAAAGCCUCGUGAUUCUUGUAUCUUCAUUGAUACCAU